UACGGAGGGAGCUAGCGUUGUUCGGAAUUACUGGGCGUAAAGCGCGCGUAGGCGGCUUUGUAAGUUAGAGGUGAAAGCCCGGAGCUCAACUCCGGAACUGCCUUUAAGACUGCAUCGCUUGAAUCCAGGAGAGGUGAGUGGAAUUCCGAGUGUAGAGGUGAAAUUCGUAGAUAUUCGGAAGAACACCCGUGGCUAAGGCGGCUCUCUAGUACGGUACUGACGCUGAGACGCGAAAGCGUGGGGAGCGAACAGG
rnacentral:rRNA from 1 species